CCUACGGGUGGCAGCAGUGAGGAAUAUUGGUCAAUGGGCGAAAGCCUGAACCAGCCAAGUAGCGUGAAGGAUGAAGGCCCUAUGGGUUGUAAACUGCUUUUGUACGGGGAUAACAUGCUCCACUUGUGGAAGUCUGCAUGUACCGUACGAAUAAGGAUCGGCUAACUCCGUGCCAGCAGCCGCGGUAAUACGGAGGGUCCGAGCGUUAUCCGGAUUUAUUGGGUUUAAAGGGAGCGUAGGCGGACGGUUAAGUCAGCUGUGAAAGUCCGCGGCUCAACCGGCGAAUUGCAGUUGAAACUGGAAGCCUUGAGUGCACUAGAGGUAGGCGGAAUUCGUGGUGUAGCGGUGAAAUGCUUAGAUAUCACGAAGAACUCCGAUUGCGAAGGCAGUUUACCGGGCUGCGACUGACGCUGAGGCUCGAAAGUGUGGGUAUCAAACAGGAUUAGAUACCCCGGUAGUC
rnacentral:rRNA from 1 species